rnacentral:lncRNA from 1 species
GGAUGAAGGAUAUUCCUUGCGGAUCAAGCCAUGAAUGGAAGCUUCGCUUGGAAUUAUGCCCUUGAUGUUCAUUAGAGUAUGGGCCCAACUGUGAAUGAACACUUGCCUGGAGGCAUAGUCAGGAAAGAUCGGAUCAUUGCGCUUAGGGGAAAAAAAAAGUUUUCCCAUGGGCCAAGGCUACAAUGCAUAUUGCCUGUAAGCGCGGCUCACAGUUAGUUGAGUG